UUAAAAUACUUGAGUGUGUAUCUGCAAUCAAAUGAAGAAGGGAACGAAGGGGGUAUCUCAUUUUCACAAAAGUAUCUCCCACUUGAAGCCUUCCUAUUCCAAAGGCGCUGAACUCCAAGGCCCCCCUAGGGUUAUUUGAGUCACUCAACCUAUGAAAGAACAAGUAUGGAAGAAAUUCACGUGUGAUGGUCCACAGGAAAGCAAGUGGAAGAGGCUAGGAAGGUACCUUAUACCAGGCUGGAUCUCACCCAUCCAAUUCAGUAUUGUCUGCUGGCUGGCAAUAGCUCUCUAAGUCUCAAGCAAGGCUCUUCCACAUCACCUUCUGCCUGAUCCUUGUAA